CGCUGGCGGCACGCCUUAUACAUGCAAGUCGAACGAAGUAGCAAUACUUAGUGGCAGACGGGUGAGUAACAUGUAGGUAUCUUCCCUUUGGUGAGGAAUAACACGAGGAAACUUGUGCUAAUACCUCAUAAGUCUUUACGGAGAAAGCUUUAUGCGCCGAAGGAUGAGCCUGCACUUGAUUAGUUUGUUGGUGGGGUAAUGGCCUACCAAGACUUUGAUCUAUAGCUGAUCUGAGAGGAUGAUCAGCCACAUUGGGACUGAGACACGGCCCAAACUCCUACGGGAGGCAGCAGUAGGGAAUAUUGCACAAUGGAGGAAACUCUGAUGCAGCGAUGCCGCGUGAGUGAAGAAGGCCUUUGGGUUGUAAAGCUCUUUCGUCGGGGAAGAAAAUGACUGUACCCGAAUAAGAAGGUCCGGCUAACUUCGUGCCAGCAGCCGCGGUAAUACGAAGGGACCUAGCGUAGUUCGGAAUUACUGGGCUUAAAGAGUUCGUAGGUGGUUAAAAAAGUUGGUGGUGAAAUCCCAGAGCUUAACUCUGGAACUGCCAUCAAAACUUUUUAGCUAGAGUAUGAUAGAGGAAAGCAGAAUUUCUAGUGUAGAGGUGAAAUUCGUAGAUAUUAGAAAGAAUACCAAUUGCGAAGGCAGCUUUCUGGAUCAUUACUGACGCUGAGGAACGAAAGCAUGGGUAGCGAAGAGGAUUAGAUACCCUCGUAGUCCAUGCCGUAAACGAUGUGUGUUAGACGUUGGAAAUUUAUUUUCAGUGUCGCAGCGAAAGCAUUAAACACACCGCCUGGGG
rnacentral:rRNA from 1 species